rnacentral:rRNA from 1 species
GAGUUUGAUCCUGGCUCAGGACGAACGCUGGCGGCGUGCCUAACACAUGCAAGUCGAACGAGAUCCAUGAUGUAGCAAUACAUCGGAAGAUCUAGUGGCGAACGGGUGAGGAUCACGUGAGAAACCUGCCCCAGACUCUGGGAUAACAAUUGGAAACGAUUGCUAAUACCGGAUGACGUCGGAGAACCGCAUGGUUCACUGACGAAAGAUACUUCGGUUUGGGAGGGUCUCGCGGCCUAUCAGCUUGUUGGUGGGGUAAUGGCCUACCAAGGCAACGACGGGUAGCUGGUCUGAGAGGAUGAUCAGCCACACUGGGACUGAGACACGGCCCAGACUCCUACGGGAGGCAGCAGUGGGGAAUUUUCCGCAAUGGGCGCAAGCCUGACGGAGCAACGCCGCGUGAGGGAUGAAGGCCUCUGGGCUGUAAACCUCUUUUCUCAAGGAAGAAGAACUGACGGUACUUGAGGAAUAAGCCACGGCUAAUUCCGUGCCAGCAGCCGCGGUAAUACGGGAGUGGCAAGCGUUAUCCGGAAUUAUUGGGCGUAAAGCGUCCGCAGGCGGCCUUGAAAGUCUGUCGUUAAAGCGUGGAGCUUAACUCCAUUUCGGCGGUGGAAACUACAAGGCUUGAGUGUGGUAGGGGCAGAGGGAAUUCCCGGUGUAGCGGUGAAAUGCGUAGAUAUCGGGAAGAACACCAGUGGCGAAGGCGCUCUGCUGGGCCAUAACUGACGCUCAUGGACGAAAGCUAGAGGAGCGAAAGGGAUUAGAUACCCCUGUAGUCCUAGCCGUAAACGAUGAACACUAGGUGUCGGGGGAAUCGACCCCCUCGGUGUCGUAGCCAACGCGUUAAGUGUUCCGCCUGGGGAGUACGCACGCAAGUGUGAAACUCAAAGGAAUUGACGGGGGCCCGCACAAGCGGUGGAGUAUGUGGUUUAAUUCGAUGCAACGCGAAGAACCUUACCAGGGUUUGACAUCCUGCGAAUCCCUUGGAAACUUGGGAGUGCCUUCGGGAGCGCAGUGACAGGUGGUGCAUGGCUGUCGUCAGCUCGUGUCGUGAGAUGUUGGGUUAAGUCCCGCAACGAGCGCAACCCAA